rnacentral:lncRNA from 1 species
AUGGUGUCCUAUGGCAUCUCUAUGGUGUCCAGGGGUCACUAUGGGGUCUCUAUGGGGUCUAUGGGGUCUAUGGGGGCACUAUGGGGUCUAUGGGGUCUCUAUGGGGUCUCUGUGGGGUCUAUGGGGUCCUAUGGGUCUAUGGGGUCUCUAUGGGGUCUUAUGGGGUCUAUAGGGUCUCUAUGGGGUCUAUGGGGUCACUAUGGGGUCUCUAUGGGGUCCUAUGGGGUCUAUGGGGUCUCUAUGUGUCACUAUGGGUCUCUAUGGGGUCCUAUGGGGUCCCUAUGGAGACCCUAUGGGGUCUCUAUGGGUCUCUAUGGGGUCUAUGGGGUCUCUAUGGGUCUCUAUGGGGUUUAUGGGGUCCUAUGGGGUCACUAUGGGUCUCUAUGGGUCUACGGGGUCCAUAUGGGUCACUAUGGGGUCUAUGGGGUCCUAUGGCAUCUCUAUGGGGUCCUAUGGGGUCCCUAUGGGGUCUAUGGGGUCCUAUGGGGUCCUAUGGGGUCACUAUGGGUCUAUAUGGGGUCUCUGUGGGGUCACUAUGGGUCUCUAUGGGGUCCUAUGGGGUCCAUAUGGGUCCAUAUGGGUCACUAUGGGUCUCUAUGGGGUCUAUGGGGUCACUAUGGGGUCCUAUGGGGUCCAUAUGGGUCACUAUGGGGUCUAUGGGGUCCUAUGGCAUCUCUAUGGGGUCCUAUGGGGUCCCUAUGGGGUCUAUGGGGGCACUAUGGGGUCUCUAUGGGCUCUAUGGGGUGUCUAUGGGGUCCUAUGGGGUCUAUGGGGUCUCUAUGGGGUCUCUAUGGGGUCCUAUGGGGUCUCUAUGGGGUCCUAUGGGGUCUAUGGGGUCUCUAUGGGGUCUCUAUGGGGUCCUAUGGGGUCUCUAUGGGUCUCUAUGGGGUCUAUGAGGUCUAUGGGGUCUCUAUGGGGUCUCUAUGGGGUCCUAUGGGGUCUCUAUGGGGUCUAUGGGGUCUAUGGGGUCUCUAUGGGGUCCUAUGGGAUCUAUGGGGUCUCUAUGGGGUCUAUGGGGUCCUAUGGGGUCUAUGGGGGCACUAUGGGGUCUAUGGGGUCCUAUGGGGUCUAUGGGGGCACUAUGGGGUCCUAUGGGAUCUAUGGGGUCUAUGGGGUCUCUAUGGGGCAAUAUGGGGUCUAUGGGGUCUCUAUGGGGUCUAUGGGGUCUAUGGGGUCUCUAUGGGGUCCUAUGGGGUCUAUGGGGGCACUAUGGGGUCCUAUGGGGUCCUAUGGGGUCUAUGGGGUCACUAUGGGUCUCUAUGGGGUCUAUGGGGUCACUAUGGGGUCUAUGGGGUCUAUGGGGUCACUAUGGGGUCCUAUGGGGUCUCUAUGGAGUCCUAUGGGGUCCCUAUGGCAUCUCUAUGGGGUCUAUGGGGUCCAAUGGGAUCUGUGGGUUCCCUUUGGGUUCCCUUUGGGGUCCCUAUGGGGUCACUAUGGGUCCCUAUGGGGUCUAUGGGGUCCCUAUGGGUCUCUAUGGGGUCUAUGGGGUCACUAUGGGUCUCUAUGGGGUCUAUGGGGUCACUAUGGGUCCUAUGGGUGUCUGUGGGAUCUUUGGGGUCUCUAUGGGGUCCCUAUGAGUCUCUAUGGGGUCUAUGGGGUCCUAUGGGGACAUAA